GGUGGCGUGUGUGAAGGCUGCCGUGCCUCAGCUCCCUGCCCGCGUGUUGGCUACACGUGGGCGCAGUGGUCAGCUCCAGUGCGUGGAGCGUUUGCACUCACUACUACGCCACAAAGCUUUGCUGUGUGGGCCACCUCAUGUCAGGCCAUCCCACCUGACUGCUCCUGAGCCUCCUGUCCUCGCUGCGCUGCCCUGGCAGGCCGAGGUCUGGCUCUGCAGACCGCCAUUUGCAGCAGAGAAGUGGUGAAAAAUGUGCUUGUGAGUAGGCCUCGGCACUGCGCUCCUGUCAGGUGCUUCACUAUAGAACAGAUAUGCAAAGAAGAAAGUUCUGCCAUGGAAGUAAUGCAAAAAGCUAAGGAAAAGAAGACUUCUAAGUUCACUUCUAAGGAGGGGCAGAAACACUACAUUUGAAGACUGGAGUUGAAAGUCUGAGUUUAUGGUGGAGAGGUGCUGUUUCCAAGCUUUAAUUGUAAGAAUGAUUCAUUGUCGCGCGAGAUGUUCAUGGAAGAUUAUGCAGAACUUUACUGCUACUAAGCUGCUGCCCUUCAGUUGAAGUGUGACUGGUUAUUUGUGGCUGCUUUGAGUCUCUCUGUGAUUUCCUAGUUCUAAGGACCUUUGAAAAGAAAAACAUCUUCCUGUGAAGUUCAUCAUCUCGUGUAAUCCAGACAUCUUACCUGCAAUAACGGAUCCGGAAGACACCUCCACCUUGCUCACACUUCAUUUGCGUCUUUGUGAUUUCUCCACGUUGCUGUCACUUCCAAACCUGGGUUGUCUCAUCUGUUUAUCUGAAAUCUGCACUUAGAUGUUGUACCCUUGAGAAUCAUUUCUACGGGACUUGGAUUCAACAGAGACCGUGCCUGAAGAUUUUGUUUCUCCUGUAAGCUGGAGUGCAUGUAUUAAGAAUGAACCCCUUAGGGAUACAGAGCAAAUUUCUUGUGAGGCUGAUCAAAAACAGUGCCAUGAACUUCCCCAGGAACUAAAGGCUAUUUAUACUUUUUGGUACAACUUACAUUAGCAAAUAAAUAAAACCAAGUGAUCUGGGUUAUAAUGUUUCUUCUAUGUUUAGACCUCACUGAAUUCCAACAGAGAUAGGAACAUUUGUUAAGUGAAGCAAAUCUUUUUUGUGUGUCACAUGGAAAUUUAUGUCUUGCACUAAUACGUUCAUAGUUCCACAG
ensembl:lncRNA